rnacentral:rRNA from 1 species
GUGGGGAAUAUUGCGCAAUGGGGGAAACCCUGACGCAGCAACGCCGCGUGAGUGAUGAAGGCUUUCGAGUCGUAAAACUCUGUCUUUGGGGACGAAUAAUGACGGUACCCAAGGAGGAAGCCCCGGCUAACUACGUGCCAGCAGCCGCGGUAAUACGUAGGGGGCAAGCGUUGUCCGGAAUCACUGGGCGUAAAGGGCGCGUAGGCGGUUUGUUAAGUCAGGUGUGAAAGGUUUCAGCUUAACUGGAAAAGUGCACUUGAAACUAACUUACUUGAGUACUGGAGAGGUAAGCGGAAUUCCUAGUGUAGCGGUGAAAUGCGUAGAUAUUAGGAAGAACACCGGUGGCGAAGGCGGCUUACUGGACAGAGACUGACGCUGAGGCGCGAAAGCGUGGGGAGCGAACAGGAUUAGAUACCCUAGUAGUCC